CCUACGGGCGGCUGCAGUGGGGAAUAUUGGACAAUGGGCGAAAGCCUGAUCCAGCCAUGCCGCGUGUGUGAAGAAGGCCUUCGGGUUGUAAAGCACUUUCAGUGGGGAAGAAAGCCUUGGGGCUAAUACCCUCGAGGAAGGACAUCACCCACAGAAGAAGCACCGGCUAACUCCGUGCCAGCAGCCGCGGUAAUACGGAGGGUGCGAGCGUUAAUCGGAAUUACUGGGCGUAAAGCGCGCGUAGGCGGUCUGAUAAGCCGGUUGUGAAAGCCCCGGGCUCAACCUGGGAACGGCAUCCGGAACUGUCAGGCUAGAGUGCAGGAGAGGAAGGUAGAAUUCCCGGAGUAGCGGUGAAAUGCGUAGAGAUCGGGAGGAAUACCAGUGGCGAAGGCGGCCUUCUGGACUGACACUGACGCUGAGGUGCGAAAGCGUGGGUAGCAAACAGGAUUAGAUACCCCUGUAGUC
rnacentral:rRNA from 1 species